CCAGAUUCUUGCUGUCUGGGGCUAAUGGAUGAUUUAUGGGUAUGAAUAACGGCAGCUUUCUGUUUGUCUGGAGAAAAAGUUCGAGAUUGGUUUCUCUCCCGAUAUUUUACAAAGUAAGGCAAUUGUGCGUCAUUUGGUGGAGAUAAAUGUCUAGUUUACAACAACUAAGCUGGUUUUAGAGGCAACUAAUGUGCCAGCUGCCCAUUUGGAG